rnacentral:rRNA from 1 species
UGGGGAAUUUUGGACAAUGGGCGAAAGCCUGAUCCAGCAAUGCCGCGUGUGUGAAGAAGGCCUUCGGGUUGUAAAGCACUUUUGUCCGGAAAGAAAUCCUUGGCUCUAAUACAGUCGGGGGAUGACGGUACCGGAAGAAUGAGCACCGGCUAACUACGUGCCAGCAGCCGCGGUAAUACGUAGGGUGCAAGCGUUAAUCGGAAUUACUGGGCGUAAAGCGUGCGCAGGCGGUUUGCUAAGACCGAUGUGAAAUCCCCGGGCUCAACCUGGGAACUGCAUUGGUGACUGGCAGGCUAGAGUAUGGCAGAGGGGGGUAGAAUUCCACGUGUAGCAGUGAAAUGCGUAGAGAUGUGGAGGAAUACCGAUGGCGAAGGCAGCCCCCUGGGCCAAUACUGACGCUCAUGCACGAAAGCGUGGGGAGCAAACAGGAUUAGAUACCCUGGUAGUCCACGCCCUAAACGAUGUCAACUAGUUGUUGGGGAUUCAUUUCCUUAGUAACGUAGCUAACGCGUGAAGUUGACCGCCUGGGGAGUACGGUCGCAAGAUUAAAACUCAAUGAAUUGACGGGGUCAUAGCUGUUUCC